UAUUGUUAUUUUGGCAGAUUAGUGCAUUAAAUUUAGAAUUUAAUUAUGUAAUAAUAUUACAAAUAAUAC
rnacentral:tRNA from 1 species